UGGGGAAUAUUGCACAAUGGGCGCAAGCCUGAUGCAGCCAUGCCGCGUGUGUGAAGAAGGCCUUCGGGUUGUAAAGCACUUUCAGCGGGGAGGAAGGCGGUGAGGUUAAUAACCUCAUCGAUUGACGUUACCCGCAGAAGAAGCACCGGCUAACUCCGUGCCAGCAGCCGCGGUAAUACGGAGGGUGCAAGCGUUAAUCGGAAUUACUGGGCGUAAAGCGCACGCAGGCGGUCUGUCAAGUCGGAUGUGAAAUCCCCGGGCUCAACCUGGGAACGGCAUUCGAAACUGGCAGGCUAGAGUCUUGUAGAGGGGGGUAGAAUGCCAGGUGUAGCGGUGAAAGGCGUAGAGAGCUGGAGGAAUACCGGUGGCGAAGGCGGCCCCCUGGACAAAGACUGACGCUCAGGUGCGAAAGCGUGGGGAGCAAACAGG
rnacentral:rRNA from 1 species